UACGUAGGGUGCAAGCGUUGUCCGGAAUUAUUGGGCGUAAAGAGCUCGUAGGCGGUCUGUCGCGUCGGCUGUGAAAACCCGGGGCUCAACCCCGGACCUGCAGUGGGUACGGGCAGACUAGAGUGCGGUAGGGGAGAUCGGAAUUCCUGGUGUAGCGGUGAAAUGCGCAGAUAUCAGGAGGAACACCAAUGGCGAAGGCAGAUCUCUGGGCCGUAACUGACGCUGAGGAGCGAAAGCGUGGGGAGCGAACAGG
rnacentral:rRNA from 1 species